GAGAGAGAAAACCGAGAGCGAUAAGGCGAAAGAAGAAAACCAAACCCUAGAAAUCUAUUUCCCUUGAUUCUCUCUCAUGAUUUUUCUUGCUUUAGAUUCCUCUUCUUCUGGAUUUCUAGUAUGAGGCAUUAUUUCUGAUCUGUGAUUCGUGAAUGGUCUCUUUUGCUAUGGAUUUAGGGGGUUAAAGGAUUCCCCCCCUUGAAAUCAAAUCCUUCAUCUGCUUUGGCUGGAGGAAAUUCUGAUGGUAGGGACUCUGUAAUUGGAGAAGGAGAAAGAUAUCGGUUGGUUAGGGGAGAUUUUCUUCCACUGAUUUCUUCAAAUGGUGCUGCUUCAACUGGGGUUACACCUGAAACCUUUGAGUCUGCAGAAUGGAAAUCAGUGCUCACUAAUGAGAAGGUCGUCUGUCGUGAUGCUUCUACAAGCAAAUUAUUCUUCCACAUACCAAAUAUAAUUCAAGGUUUUGGCUGACGGUUACAUAUCCACUACCUCCUAUAAAGUUGACUGCUUUGAGUAUUCCAACUGAUGGGACAAAUCCAAUGCAGAAUGUAGAAAAGACAUUUCAACUGACACGAGCAGAUAUAGAUUGUUACAGAAACCCGAAUAUGAUGUGCAGGUGUGCCAGUUUGGAGUAUCAAUAGAGCGGGCUCUCAGUUGUUAGGAGCUAAUAGUCGUGAUGAUGGUCCUGCAAUUACGACAUGUACGAGGGAGGGGAUGAAUAAGAUCUCUUUGACAGGAUGUGCUGCUCGCAUCUUCUGCUUGGGGGUCAUAAUUGCGAAGCGCCGAACAGUUCAGCAGGUUCUCAACUUGAUACCAAAAGAGCUGGAUGGUGAGCAUUUUGAAGAUGCACAUGCCCGUGUUUGUCGUUGCAUAGGGGGUGGUAAUGAUGCGGAAAAUGCAGAUAGUGAUAGUGAUCUGGAACCUAGUGAAUUACAUAACGUAUAGUUAUAGACUAUAUUCAAGUGGAUAAAUACAAUUAAGUUUGGAGAUGGCAGAUGAGUGGUUCGCGAAUCAAAAUUGCGGGAAGGUUCAAACCUUGUAUUCACAUGGGCUGUAUUGACCUUGAAUCUUUUGUAGAACUUAACCAAAAGUCUAGGAAGUGGCAGUGCCCCAUUUUCCUCAAAAACUACACCUUGGAGCAUAUGAUUAUUGACCCGUAUUUCAAUCGCAUCGCAUCACAGCCAUGAUGGGUAGUUGUGGAGAAGAUGUAACAGAGAUAGACGUCAAGCCAGAUGGUUCUUGGCGUGCGAUGAAUGAUAGAGAGCAUAUGGAUCUUGCACAGUGGCACUUCCCUGAUGGUUCCCUUUCCGUUGAGACAGGCAAAAACAUUAAACCUGACUUGGAGAGCUCAAAGCAGAUCAAACAUGAUGGACCUUCCGAAGAACAAAGCCCUUUUAAAUUAUGAAUCAAGAAGAAUUCAAACGGGACAUGGGAAGUUAAGAAACCUGAAUUGCUAACUCUCUCUCCUGACAGUCAGCUAGAAGAUAUUCAUAGCGGAGGAGGCAUUCUUAGGAGCAGCAGUGGCACUGGAAGUGUUAGAGACGUUGAUGAUUAAAAUGCUAAUCGAGAUGUUGGUGGGAAAUUUGAUUUCCUGCCCAACAAUGGCAAUGAGCUUGAUUAAAAUACGCGAGGAAGACUGGAUAUCUCUUAGGGUUGGUCAUGAUCGGUCGGCAGCCACAAAUGGUUUGAAUGCAGGACACGAGUCUGAGUCUAAGGAGGCAUCGUCGCUUCCGAGUUCAAAUGGCGAGAGCCGAGAGGUCUGAUAGGACGACAACAAAUCAGCAGAAAUCUGCAAGCCCUUUCUCGUUUCCGCGUCAGGCCUGGUCAGUGCAACCAAGAUUAUACCUGUCCAUUGAUUCAGACUCAGAUUUUUGAUGAGUGAGCAUCAUGAUUUUACAUACAAUACCGGGCAGACUAGGUGUGGCUUGGCAUCUAGUUCCCUUUAUUAAUCUAACAUCAAAUGUAUCGAGAAAGUAUGUGUCAGUAAAGGGAGAUCAGUUCUCAUCUGCUGCUGUGUAGGAUGUCAUCAGGGAACUGCUGGCUUGCGCUUUUCACUGGAAUAAAAUAGAAACUUUUGCAUCCUUAACAUCGUUUUGGAAGACAACCUCAGGCAUAACUGAACAGAGUGUAAUUUUGGUUUCCCCACUCCCUCCUCUUUCUUUCAAGGAAAAAGAUCAUCUUAGAUAUUUGUACAUUAACUUUAGGUAAUAUAUCAACCUUGUGCUCCCUUGUGUCCUGAAAAUUUCCGAGGAUAACUUCAUUGUGUAUAUAACCCUAUAUUAUUGGUUCCUAAAUCUUUCUGCUCAAAUUAAUAGAUAAUUGAAACAUCUUUCUAAUUUA